rnacentral:lncRNA from 1 species
CUAAAUACUGUUCAUGUAUACAGGUUGCCAGAGACACGAACACAUCUAACUGCAUGUUUUGAGUGUGGAGGUGAGAGCUGGGGAUACUUGAGCUUUGUUUUAAAGGAUUAUCAGUAAGAGAUGAGUACUAGAGAUAAUUUUGGAACCGAAAACUGGACUGAGAAGAAAUUUUGGGAGGAAAGUUGUGAUUUAUGUUAACUGUCUUCCUCUGAAAAACCAAAAGCCAUUUUGUUGUUGAUAGUACUUUGGGCCAGAAUUCAACAACAGGGAAUGGAAACAUUGAUCAUAAGUUUUGGGAUACAGGAGUCAGAAUGAGUCAGGGUCAAGUUAAUGUCAUGCUACAGUCAGCUCUGGUUUGGAAAACUUAUGUGGUAAAAGUGUUCCAAGGUAAAUCUCUGUAUAAGGCAAUUUCAGUCUUAAUCUAAUUUUUCUUAACCUGAACUCUGGAACACAUUCCCAAAAUUUAUUUGGAAACAACAAAAUGAGAAAAGACAAAAACAAAAUGUACCAUAGUGGUUAAAACACGGGUUCUAGAGUCAGUAGGGAUUUACAUUUCUUCCUAGCUAGUGGCCUUGGACAUGUUUACUCUUUGUUCAGGUUUCUCACCUGUGAAAGGAUAUAGUAGUUUUCCCCUCAACAAGUUAGGUCAGUUUGGCCUCAGAACACUCAAUAAUGGUGUGGAUCUUGGAGAGAGUGUCAAGUUUGGAGAUGGUGGUACUGUAUUUCCAGCAUAUCUCGCUUCAGGUGGAGUCAGGAGGGAAGCUGCCUAUGACAGAAGGGUGAGUUACGGUGUUGGGGAACCAGGAAAAGUGUUAUAAGGUACAUAUGAUGCAAGGGGGAUAGAGGGGCUAAAGCAAAAUUUUUUGAUAUAGGAAGCUAACAUGCCCUGUUUGUGGGUGUGGGUGUGUGCAUACAACCCUGUAUACAACCAUAUGGCAUGCCCAUAAUCUGGAGCACUACAGUUAAAAUUGUUGGGGCUUUUGUGUGUUUCCUGUAAGGAGAAGAUGUAUUUUACUCGGCUGCAUCGUGUCUACCUGUGGUUGUGUUACCUGUAUGAAGUUGUCAUGUCAAUCUGUCGAGGGUUAAGUUCUAGGACAUGGAUAUUAGGAUCAAGCAAUAAUAACUUUUCCAGGAGCUUCGCUUAGUAUUUUCUAAUUGUACAUUAGUCACUUUAGCUUACUCCAGUCUGGAGAAAACAAGUUACAGUUUGGCUGCUUUUGCACAUGAAUCAUGAAAGAAUUUCCCCAAGCACUAUUGAAAAGGGCUGGACACAUGAUAGGCUGAGUGGAGCCAAUCAUUGCUUUUUAGAGAAUCUGAAUAAAAUGAUGACCAAGAUAAUGGUAAGGUAAAGCACUAAGCUUUGGAAAAGGUUCAUGGACUCCUGCCAGGAUUACAGAGCUGCCCCAAUUCCUACCUGUUUCAGUUUUGAGUUUUUUGAUUGCAUGUAGCAGACUGACUUGAACUAACUAAAGCAAAGGGGAUGUUUAUUGGAGGAUAAUUGAGUGUUUCACAGGCUAGAAGAGAAGGACUAGGAUUGGAAGAUGAAGAAACCAAGGCAGUUUUCACAGCAGUGGGGGAACUGAGACAAAAUGUUAAUGUCUUUUGGGCAUUAUUCAUAAGUCAAAAACCUGAAGAGAGUUCAAGUGGCUUAAUGGGUUGCAUUUCUGACCUUAGGCAUCUUAGUAGACACUCUCAUCAGAACUACACAUGACAGGAAGAAUUCUCUGCGAGGAAUCAGAUUUUAGAAGGGCAAGUAUCUGUAACAUCAAACUUAUUAACUCACCUAAUUUAAAAUUUGUCCCUCAAACCACCUUUAAUGACUCCCCUUGUUAACUACUCCUGGGAGGCUUCAUCCAUUGUUGAUUUCCCUUAACCCCACCCAAGUUGUUGACCUUAGUUGUUUUAUUCAGCUCUCCUCAGUUACCCAUUAUAGCCUGAUCAAAUCAGAUGUUUCACGGUAAUCUGUUUUGACAUUUCUAGAGCUGAAAUCAUAUUUUCCUCCAAAAUUGUUCCCUGUCUUUUGUCAUCUCUCUCUGAUUCCCUCUUCCUAAUGUUCUGUAAUAAAACAUUUUUGUCUUCCC